CAGCCGCCACGGGAAUACGAAGGGGGCUAGCGUUGCUCGGAAUGACUGGGCGUAAAGGGCGCGUAGGCGGCGGCCAAAGUCAGGCGUGAAAUUCCCGGGCUCAACCUGGGGGCUGCGUUUGAUACUUGGUUGCUUGAGUGGGGAAGAGGGUCGUGGAAUUCCCAGUGUAGAGGUGAAAUUCGUAGAUAUUGGGAAGAACACCGGUAGCGAAGGCGGCAACCUGGUCCUUGACUGACGCUGAGGCGCGAAAGCGUGGGGAGCAAACAGGAUUAGAUACCCCGGUAGUCCCUGUCUCUUAUAC
rnacentral:rRNA from 1 species